rnacentral:lncRNA from 1 species
UUGAUAUUCAUGUAAUUCUAUGUUUAGUCUAGUGAGUCUGGUUCUAUGUUUAGGUAAUUGGGGUGGAGACUCUCAAUUGAAGGCAGGUGUGGUCUAUUUGCCUUUAAUUGAGAGUCCCAUAUAUUAGGGUGUGUUUGUAUUUUGUGGGAGAUUGUUCUGUGUUUAGCCGUGUGCCUUGCCAGACUGUUAUUUUGUCGUAGUGUUUCAGUGUACGUGUUUGUUGUUUUCAGUUUUCCUUCUUUAUUUAAUAAAGAGGAUGAGUACACUUGUCUCUGCUGCAUUUUGGUCCUCCUUUCCCGACGACAACCGUGACAUCUAUUAAAAAUACAAAUCUGAAAUAUCACAUUUACGUAAGACCCUUUACUCUGUUGAAGCACCUUUGGCAGCGAUUACAGCCUCAAGUCUUCUUGGGUAUGACGCUACAAGCUUGGCACACUUGUAUUUGGGGAGUUUCUCCCAUUCUUCUCUGCAGAUCCUCUCAAGUUCUGUCAGGUUGAAUGGGGAGUGUCGCUGCACAGCUAUUUUAAGGUUUUUUCAGAGAUGUUUGAUUGUGUUCAAGUCCGGGCUCUGGCUCGGCCACUCAAGGACAUUCAGACUUUUUCCGAAGCCACUCCUGUGUUGUCUUGGCUGUGUGCUUAGGGUCAUUUUCCUUUUGGAAGGGGAACCUUCGCCACAGUCUGAGGUCAUGAACACUCUGGAGCAUGUUUUCAUCAAGGAUCUCUGUAGUUUGCUCUGUUCAUCUUUCCCUCAAUCCUGACUGGUCUCCCAGUCCCUGCCAGUGAAAAACAUCCCCACAGCAUGAUGCUGCCACCACCAUGCUUCACCAGAUAACAGCUGCACCCCCACCCCCAAAUGACUUCCCGUGGCUAUGGUCAGGCGCCUUUUGGAUAGUAUGAAAUUGCUGUGGUAUCUCAAUGAGAUUUCAGGGGGGGCUGGAGGGUGUGGAAGAGCACUGCCCUGGUAUAGAAUGUACACUCUAAAUCAGUCUUAAUUGUUGAAAAAGACAAUCUAGUACACAGAGUGCUCCGUGUUCAUCAUUUCUAAUAAUAACUUUUAGCCAGCUGAGUGCACAAAGUUUCUUCAGGAAUGUCCUAUUCUUGUUGUUUCGUUUUAAAAUCUCAAAUUUAAAUAGUUGUAAUCCGCUGAUUCUCUUCACGGCAGAUCUAACCAAUCACACCCCUCUUUUUAAGAGGGCCACUUGUAACGGCCAUCGUCAAAAUGAGACCAAGGUGCAGCGGAGGAUGUGUUCAUCUUGAAAGAUUUUAAUGGACCGAAUGAACACUUACAAAAUAAACCAAAAAGGACCAGCAACAGUUCUGUCAGGUUACAAAACUACACAGAAAACAUUCACCCACAAAACCCAAAGGAAAAACAGGCUGCCUAAGUAUGACACCCAAUCAGCAACAACCAUGUACAGCUGUUCCUGAUUGGGAGCCAUACCCGGCCGAAACAAAGCAAUCCCAAACAUAGAAAAACAGACAUAGAAUGCCCACCCAAAUCACACCCUGACCAAACCUAAAUGGAGACAUAAAAAGGAUCUCUCAGGUCAGGGCGUGACACCACUAUGCUCCAGAUCGCCUUAUGUGCUCAGAGGUCCUUGAUGAGGAUCUACCCUAUCAAUACCCCAUGAUCUAUUUUAAAUGUAAGACUAUGUUGCAUAUUUAAACUUAAAUUGGUGACUAUGGAAACAAACAGAAUGUAACGGUUGUCGUCGGGAAUAGAGGACCAAAACGCAGCAGGAAUGUGGAUGCUCAUCUUGAUAUUUAUUUUAAAUAAAGUGAACACCAAAAACGAAAAACGCACAAACAACAAAACAGUCUUGUCAGGCACACUCAGCAAAACAAGAAACAAUCUCCCACAACACCAAACCAAACAAUUACCCAUAUAUAGGACUCUCAAUCAGAGGCAACGAGAAAGCACCUGCCUCCAAUUGAGAGUCCAACCCCCCAUCAACCUAAACAUACAACAAAGGUUCAAAUCCUUCCAUUGAAAACAAGCAUUCCAUUUAUUUCCAUUUGAUUGGUUAAGAACAACCUGUUAUCUUUACAAUAUACACUGAGUGUUCAAAACAUUAGGAAUAUCUUCUUAAUAUUGAGUUGUACCCCCUUUUGCCCUCAGAACAGCCUCAAUUCUUGCGGUACCGAGUGGCGAGCGGUCAAAGGCACUGCAUCUCAGUCCAAGAGGCGUCACUAGAGACCCAGGUUCGACCCCGGGCUGUAUCACAACCAGACAUUGAAUAUCCCUUUGAGCAUGGUGAAGUUAUUAAUUACACUUUGGAUGGUGUUAGGUUCUAAUUUUUCAGAGUAAAUAACUCACCGACACUAGCUUAACCAAGUUUAAUUCUUCCCAAAGGGUCGUUACAGCUGUAUUCAGACAAAAUAACAUUUCUCACCAUCACAAUUAUAUAUACCCCACUUUAGACUCUCCUCCUGCUCUCCAAUCCUUACAUCUUAUGGUUCCACAGGAAGCGGGUAAUAGGGUAAUAAACCCUUAUUACUCCCUUCAGGGGAUCUGACCUGACCUCCUGACCUCAACCCCUCCAUCGUAAUAGCACAGCUCCCCUAUAGCAAUCCUGUGAUCUCCUCCCGUCCACCCAACACAUUCCAAAGCCCCUCUCUUCCUACAGAAAACCAUUAACGUCUGACAUAAAACCCAGUCUCUUUCACUCCUUAUAGUCUAUGCUUCUCAUCCAUAAUUUAUUUCAUAUCUCAAUGUUCAGAGUUUAUCCCGAUUCCAACAGUCCCUCCUCUUGAACAAUAGCGUCCUAAUGUUCAAUUUACAUAAACUUGGAAAUGACUUAUAAAUGGAUAAACAAUGAUAAUAAAACAUGUAUUUAAAAAAACCUAACAAAUGAUUAUAAAACAUGAAUUAAACAAACUAACAAAUGGAACAAACAAUGAACAAACAUUCACCGUCAGGUUUACAAAUUCAGAGAUUUAUGACAUCUGUACUAUGAUCACGUCAUACACAUUUUUAUUUCCAUCUCUCAUCACACAACAAAAUGCCAUUCCAGCUGAAUCUGCUGUCUUGUUCCAUGUCAGAUGGAACGCUUUUUGUUUCUCCACUUUCGCCUUCUGGUUCCUAAGAGAGUGAUAGCAUAAGACUUGGAAAGCAACAAAAAGACACACAGAACAUAACAGUAUUAACAAUGUGAUAAGCUAUACAUAAUUAUAUAUGCAUGAAAACCAAAGUCUGAGACCCUGACAAUUCCCACUCUCUCUUCACCUGACUCUAUGCCUCCAGGAUACUUUCCUGUUGGGUUCCACAAAAAUGAAAGCUCUAAAAAAAACUUCCUCAUGCUUUCGCCCAGUCUUCCCCUUUCGGCCGCCAGGUUCCGAGAGGUGUUCCCAAGUCAUGUCAUUUUCACUUUGUCCUUAUCUCCUCCAUUUCACCAGAUAGGCACGUCACCUGAUAUGCAAGUGCGUAUCCCUAAUCAACGUAGCACUGUAUAUGCUUUCACAUCAAUGCCUUCAACAUUUUGUACAAUUACCCAAACAUCUAUUCUCUAUCAUAUGAUGCAUUAACCAAUAAAGCAGCUAACCCUAACCAAACUAUGAUGUUUAAAGUAGCUCCCAGAACCAACAUAUCUCUAUGUCUUACAGUGAAAUCUAGUCUCUCUCUUUCGCUCUGUUUCCUCUGUCAUGGUGUCUUCAAGCUCACCCAUUAUGCUGCUGGACCUCACUUCACGUGAGAACUAUUCACCCCCCCAAGGAGAGACAUGACGAUCUUUAAUGCUGCAGGUACUGUACGAAGUAGGAUGUGUGGCCCAAACCAAUGCUGUCCCAACACCCCCGCCUGGUGUCUCUUGAUGUACACUCAAUCUCCAGAAUUCAGCCCGUGCCCUUGGUUAUCGCUGCUUUCACUGAGGAUAUACACACUGCAACACAUGGGUCAUUUCCUGACAACAUAAACUCCCCUCCUAUGGCAAGAUCACUAAUUUGUGACAUUUGAAAAACAGCCUCCCCUGUCCUCCCAUCGGUCUCCCAGUUACCAGUUAUCAAACCAUGUGGCACAAGUCCUCAUAAACUGUGAUCCCAACAAUGCUACUAAAGUAACCCUUGCUACUACCAACAUGGUCCAUGAUUAUAGUCUCACAAUACCCCUCAUUUGCACAGUAGUCCAGUUCCAUGCUGUCAAUAUAGCAUCCUUCGCUACUAGUACUGCUCCUUCAGUUACUGUCCCUACCGUGACUGCCAUGAGAAUAACUCCUGCAUGUAAUCUGUCAAAUGUUUGCCGGCUGUUAGAAAUUGGGGAAAAGAUUAAUGAUUUGGGAAAAAUAUCCAACUUAACAAAACUCACAGGUCACAGGUGUCCUGAAAGUUUACCAUAGUGUCUGCAAUGCCACCACUAUCUCUUCUACUCUCACCAUGAGCUAGGUAUGUGUAAUGUUCAACUAAUUCCCCAUAUUGUGUACAGUUAGCUGUCCUCCCUCUUCUAUGAGCUAUCUCCUGUAACAAUAUACAGUCUCUGGGAAUGAUACUCCUCUAUCAUUACAUCUAACCCAUAACACACGAUACUCCUCUAUCAUUACAUCUAACCCAGAACACACGAUACUCCUCUAUCAUUACAUCUAACCCAUAACACACUAGUCACUACUCCUAAUGCAUGUUCUACAGUUAUAAACAUACUAACACAUUCUCAAAUCAGUUAGUCAAUAUACAUCAUUCUCUCCUCUGGAACAAUGAACACCCUCAUGUUCCACGAAACCUAAAAACAUAUUGACUUUAAAGAGAAAAAAAGUACAUGUUUAAUAACUUAACGCCAUCCAUUGAUGCGAUGUAACAUUAAAAUUCUGAAUACAGGGUAAAACAAAAGAGAACAAGAAACUUUCAUGGUUGUCCCAAGCUAUCAUCCAGUGAGUCCCCUAACAAACCACCUCCCUUCAGGAUGACACUUAGAGAUGAGUAUCCACAUCCCGCUUGCAUUUUGGUCAUCCAUUCCCAACGACAGCCGUUACAGAACAACCCACCAAAAUAAGACCAAGCAGCGGAAGAAGGAGAAGAGGAACGCUGAGUAUAUGGACUAUGCUGAGAAAAUGGAUUUUGACAUGGACAAUCGCGAGAAGUGGACUUGGGAAAAGAUUCUGGCCGGAGAGGGCCCAUGGAAGAAGGCUGGGGAGGACCGGGAACGCUACCGGGGUACACGACUGGUGAGGAAGCCGGAGAGGCACUCCCAAUAAAACAUUUUUUUAGGGGGCACACGGGUAGUUUGGCUAGGCCAAGGAAGAGCCAUAACUAGACUAGACUAGACUGACUAGAACCAAAAAAUUGGAUCAUAUUACUCCAGUGCUAGCCUCCCUACAGUGGCUUCCUGUUAAGGCAAGGGCUGAUUUCAAGGUUUUACUGCUAACCUACAAAGCAUAACAUGGGCUUGCUCCUACCUAUCUUUCCAAUUUGGUCCUGCCGUACAUACCUACACGUACGCUACGGUCACAAGACGCAGGCCUCCUAAUUGUCCCUAGAAUUUCUAAGCAAACGGCUGGAGGUAGGGCUUUCUCCUAUAGAUCUCCAUUUUUAUGGAAUGGUCUGCCUACCCAUGUGAGAGACGCAGACUCAGUCUCAACGUUUAAGUCUUUACUGAAGACUUAUCUCUUCAGUAGGUCCUAUGAUUAAGUAUAGUCUGGCCCAGGAGUGUGAAGGUGAACGGAAAGGCUGGAGCAACGAACCGCCCUUGUUGUCUCUGCCUUGCUGGUUCCCCUCUCUCCACUGGGAUUCUCUGCCUCUAACCCUAUUACAGGGGCUGAGUCACUGGCGUACUGGUGUUCUUCCAUGCCGUCCAUGGGAGGGGUGCGUCACUUGAGUGGGCUGAGUCACUGACGUGGUCUUCCUGUCUGGGUUGGCGCGGAGGGGUGUAGCACAGUCUGGAGGGCAGUAGGCCAGAACCAGAGCCACCUCCAGGAUAGGUGGGUUGGGGAGGAGGGGUGUAGCACAGUACCGUCGUUGACGGCAGCCACCCUCCCUUCCCUCCCUUAUUGUUUAGGGGGUAUUUAUUUUUGUUUUGUUGUGGUAUUGGGGAUUUGUUGUUUCUUUUUAGGUGCAUUCGGGGUAUGCACCUUGAGGGGGGGGGGUACUGUCACGUCCUGACCAGCAGAGGGUGUAGUUGUGUAGUAUUUUGGUCAGGACGUGGCAGAAGAUGUCUGUGUAUGUUCUGGGUUGUAUGUUUCUAUGUUGGUCUGUGUGGCUCCCGAUCAGGGACAGCUGGUUAUCGUUGUUCCUGAUUGGGAGUCAUAUAUUAGGUGUGUGUUUUUCACUUGGGUUUGUGGGUUGUUGCGCUAGCACUGCUAUUAUUUUGUAUGUAUAGCCUGUUAGCAUGUCAUUCUUGUUUAUUGUUUUCCGUUUUG